rnacentral:rRNA from 1 species
AGAGUUUGAUCAUGGCUCAGAUUGAACGCUGGCGGCAGGCCUAACACAUGCAAGUCGAACGGUAACAUUUCUAGCUUGCUAGAAGAUGACGAGUGGCGGACGGGUGAGUAAUACUUAGGAAUAUGCCUUUGUGUGGGGGAUAACUAUUGGAAACGAUAGCUAAUACCGCAUAACGUCUUCGGACCAAAGGGGGCUUCGGCUCCCGCGCAAAGAGUAGCCUAAGCGAGAUUAGCUUGUUGGUGAGGUAAAGGCUCACCAAGGCGACGAUCUCUAGCUGUUCUGAGAGGAAGAUCAGCCACACUGGAACUGAGACACGGUCCAGACUCCUACGGGAGGCAGCAGUGGGGAAUAUUGCACAAUGGAGGAAACUCUGAUGCAGCAACGCCGCGUGGAGGAUGACACAUUUCGGUGCGUAAACUCCUUUUAUAUGAGAAGAUAAUGACGGUAUCAUAUGAAUAAGCACCGGCUAACUCCGUGCCAGCAGCCGCGGUAAUACGGGGGGUGCAAGCGUUACUCGGAAUCACUGGGCGUAAAGAGCAUGUAGGCUGGUUUGUAAGUUGGAAGUGAAAUCCUAUGGCUUAACCAUAGAACUGCUUCCAAAACUGCAGACCUAGAAUAUGGGAGAGGUAGAUGGAAUUUCUGGUGUAGGGGUAAAAUCCGUAGAGAUCAGAAGGAAUACCGAUUGCGAAGGCGAUCUACUGGAACAUUAUUGACGCUGAGAUGCGAAAGCGUGGGGAGCAAACAGGAUUAGAUACCCUGGUAGUCCACGCCCUAAACGAUGCACACUAGUUGUUGCUAUGCUAGACAUAGCAGUAAUGCAGUUAACACAGUAAGUGUGCCGCCUGGGGAGUACGGUCGCAAGAUUAAAACUCAAAGGAAUAGACGGGGACCCGCACAAGCGGUGGAGCAUGUGGUUUAAUUCGACGAUACGCGAAGAACCUUACCUGGCCUUGACAUAGUAAGAACUUUUUAGAGAUAAAUUGGUGCUAGUUUACUAGAGCUUACAUACAGGUGCUGCACGGCUGUCGUCAGCUCGUGUCGUGAGAUGUUGGGUUAAGUCCCGCAACGAGCGCAACCCUCGUGUUUAGUUACUAACAGUUCGGCUGAGGACUCUAGACAGACUGCCUGGGUAACCAGGAGGAAGGUGAGGACGACGUCAAGUCAUCAUGGCCCUUACGGCCAGGGCUACACACGUGCUACAAUGGGGUAUACAAAGAGCAGCGAUACCGCGAGGUGGAGCAAAUCUCAUAAAAUAUCUCCCAGUUCGGAUAGUAGUCUGCAACUCGACUACUUGAAGUUGGAAUCGCUAGUAAUCGUAGAUCAGCAAUGCUACGGUGAAUACGUUCCCGGGUCUUGUACUCACCGCCCGUCACACCAUGGGAAUUGAAUUCAUUCGAAGCGGGGAUGCUAAAAUAGCUACCUUCCACAGUGGAUUUAGUAACUAGGGUGAAGUCGUAACAAGGUAACCGUAGGAGAACCUGCGGUUG